UGAGGAAUAUUGGUCAAUGGACGAGAGUCUGAACCAGCCAAGUAGCGUGCAGGAUGACGGCCCUAUGGGUUGUAAACUGCUUUUGUUUGGGAAUAAUCGACAUUACGUGUAAUGUUUUGCAUGUACCAUUCGAAUAAGGACCGGCUAACUCCGUGCCAGCAGCCGCGGUAAUACGGGGGAUGCGAGCGUUAUCCGGAAUUAUUGGGUUUAAAGGGUGCGCAGGUGGCUAAUCAGGUCAGUGGUGAAAAGCUAUGGCUCAACCAUGGUCUUGCCAUUGAAACCGUAUAGCUAGAGAGGAGACGAGGUAGGCGGAAUGUGUGGUGUAGCGGUGAAAUGCAUAGAUAUCACACAGAACUCCGAUUGCGAAGGCAGCUUACCAGGCUUUAUCUGACACUUAGGCACGACAGCGUGGGGAUCAAACAGG
rnacentral:rRNA from 1 species